rnacentral:rRNA from 1 species
GACGAACGCUGGCGGCGUGCUUAACACAUGCAAGUCGAACGGAAAGGCCCUGCUUUUGUGGGGUGCUCAAGUGGCGAACGGGUGAGUAACACGUGAGUAACCUGCCCUUGACUUUGGGAUAACUUCAGGAAACUGGGGCUAAUACCGGAUAGGAGCUCCUGCUGCAUGGUGGGGGUUGGAAAGUUUCGGCGGUUGGGGAUGGACUCGCGGCUUAUCAGCUUGUUGGUGGGGUAGUGGCUUACCAAGGCUUUGACGGGUAGCCGGCCUGAGAGGGUGACCGGCCACAAUGGGACUGAGAUACGGCCCAGACUCCUACGGGAGGCAGCAGUGGGGAAUAUUGCACAAUGGGCGGAAGCCUGAUGCAGAAACGCCGCGUGCGGGAUGACGGCCUUCGGGUUGUAAACCGCUUUCGCCUGUGACGAAGCGUGCGUGACGGUACUGGGUAAAGAAGCACCGGCUAACUACGUG